UACGGAGGGUGCGAGCGUUGUUCGGAAUCACUGGGCGUAAAGCGCGUGUAGGCGGCCCACUAAGUCUGAUGUGAAAGCCCGGGGCUCACCCCCGGAAGUGCAUUGGAAACUGGUGGACUCGAGUCCCGGAGAGGAGAGUGGAAUUCCUGGUGUAGCGGUGAAAUGCGUAGAUAUCACUUGGAACGCCAAUGGUGAAAACAGACUGCUGGGGGUGUGCUGACGCUGAGACACGAAAGCCAGGGGAGCAAACGGG
rnacentral:rRNA from 1 species